UGAUCUCACCUAACAAAUCCACUAAGUGUUUAAGUGCUCUCACCUAACAAAUCCACCAAGUGUUUAAGUGCUCAAACCUAACCCAUUAUGAUUUGUUUAAAGGCCAAAUAGUGUUGCUUGGAAGCCUAUAAAUAGAGACCAAUUCACCAUUUCAUAACACCAAUUCCUUCAUCCAUCUCAUCUUCUUUGUCUCUCCAUUUCCUUUCCAUUUUUCUCUCCAUCCUCUAGUGCAUUCAACGUUUCAAGCAAGGGAGAAGAAGAAGAAGAAGAAGGAGCCGUGAGCAUCAUCAUCCAUCCUCCACCUUGAAGCUUGCUUUCGAGAUUCAAGAAUCCAUAACGUUUCAUCCUUCAUCCCCAUCUCCAUCUCACGGUGUGUACCCUCAAUCCCCGGAAUAGAACGAUCCCUAUUUGCUUAUACUACUAACGAUAUUUCAGGGUUAAAUUAUGCGCUUCCCAAGAGCGCAUCAAUAUUCUUGUACCAAUGCCCAAUGA
rnacentral:lncRNA from 1 species